rnacentral:rRNA from 1 species
AGUCGAACGAUGAAGCCCAGCUUGCUGGGUGGAUUAGUGGCGAACGGGUGAGUAACACGUGAGCAACCUGCCCCUGACUCUGGGAUAAGCGCUGGAAACGGCGUCUAAUACUGGAUACGAGACGUGAUCGCAUGGUCAACGUUUGGAAAGAUUUAUUGGUUGGGGAUGGGCUCGCGGCCUAUCAGCUUGUUGGUGAGGUAAUGGCUCACCAAGGCGUCGACGGGUAGCCGGCCUGAGAGGGUGACCGGCCACACUGGGACUGAGACACGGCCCAGACUCCUACGGGAGGCAGCAGUGGGGAAUAUUGCACAAUGGGCGCAAGCCUGAUGCAGCAACGCCGCGUGAGGGAUGACGGCCUUCGGGUUGUAAACCUCUUUUAGCAGGGAAGAAGCGAAAGUGACGGUACCUGCAGAAAAAGCACCGGCUAACUACGUGCCAGCAGCCGCGGUAAUACGUAGGGUGCAAGCGUUAUCCGGAAUUAUUGGGCGUAAAGAGCUCGUAGGCGGUUUGUCGCGUCUGCUGUGAAAUCUGGGGGCUCAACCCCCAGCCUGCAGUGGGUACGGGCAGACUAGAGUGCGGUAGGGGAGAUUGGAAUUCCUGGUGUAGCGGUGGAAUGCGCAGAUAUCAGGAGGAACACCGAUGGCGAAGGCAGAUCUCUGGGCCGUAACUGACGCUGAGGAGCGAAAGGGUGGGGAGCAAACAGGCUUAGAUACCCUGGUAGUCCACCCCGUAAACGUUGGGAACUAGUUGUGGGGUCCAUUCCACGGAUUCCGUGACGCAGCUAACGCAUUAAGUUCCCCGCCUGGGGAGUACGGCCGCAAGGCUAAAACUCAAAGGAAUUGACGGGGACCCGCACAAGCGGCGGAGCAUGCGGAUUAAUUCGAUGCAACGCGAAGAACCUUACCAAGGCUUGACAUAUACGAGAACGGGCCAGAAAUGGUCAACUCUUUGGACACUCGUAAACAGGUGGUGCAUGGUUGUCGUCAGCUCGUGUCGUGAGAUGUUGGGUUAAGUCCCGCAACGAGCGCAACCCUCGUUCUAUGUUGCCAGCACGUAAUGGUGGGAACUCAUGGGAUACUGC